GAUGAACGCUGGCGGCAUGCCUAACACAUGCAAGUCGAACGAAGCACUGAAGAACGGAGAUUCGUCAAAGUUCUUCUUUGACUGAGUGGCGAACGGGUGAGUAACGCGUGAGCAACCUGCCCUUCAGAGGGGGACAACAGUUGGAAACGACUGCUAAUACCGCAUGACGUAUCCGGGAGGCAUCUUCUGGAUACCAAAGGAGCAAUCCGCUGAGGGAUGGGCUCACGUCUGAUUAGCUAGUUGGUAGGGUAACGGCCUACCAAGGCUGCGAUCAGUAGCCGGACUGAGAGGUUGAACGGCCACAUUGGGACUGAGAUACGGCCCAGACUCC
rnacentral:rRNA from 1 species